UGUUACUUGCUUUCUGUGUUGAAUGAAAGGUGUUAUUUUACUCCCUGCCAUUAGAGGGCACUGGGAGCUAUUACUGUGAAAGGUUCUCUACGCCAGAGAAUAAGAGGAAGAGGGAAGUUUGAAUGAGGAGCACAUGGAAGCUGAGAGUGUUUGCUCUCUCUAUGCUUUUAUUUGGAAACCCUUGUUGAGGAAUAUUUUGUUCUACAUCUCAAUAGGGGUUUUGUGUCUGUCUGAUUAUGGGAUCAUCUACCCUGGUCACGGAUCCUUCUCUUCAAUAUUGGGUUUUUCAUCUUUUGGAUAAAGUUUACUGGAUGGACUUGGAUUUAUCCUUUUAACAUCUAUGCCUUGAUGGACUGAGGACAUGUGCAGUAACACUGAGCUUCAUUGUUGUGUGGACAUUCAAAUGUUUUUCUUUCAAAUGUGACUGCUGCUCUAAGAUAUGGUCAUGAUUGUUGUGCGGUUUCAAACUGUAUGUCUUUUGGGAAUGUAAAUAUAAUAAGAUUGGUGGUGACAGAUCCCUCCUCA